UGGGGGCCUUUACAACAAGCACCAUUGGUGGUGGUAUCUUUCAAGCAAUUAAGUUUUCACAAUUCUCCAGUAGGAGUAAAUCACAAACUCCAAAGGAGUUUGACAGCUAUUAAAAUCCAUGUUCCAUAAUUGGGAGGUAGCUUUGCAUUCAGAGAGGUCUGUUUCCCAUGAUUGACUGUAGUAUGGCUCAAGUCAGAGGAAAAGAAGAUCCCUGGAACUCUAUUACAAGUGGUGCCAUAACGGGAGCCAUACUGGCAGCAAGAAAUGGACCAGUGGCUAUAGUUGGGUCAGCUGCGAUGAGUAACAUUCUUCUAGCUUGAACUGAAGGAGAUAUUAUCUUGUUCACAAAAUUUGCUUCUGAAUAUUUGCUGAAGAACUCUUCUAGUUGUCUUCAACCGAGUUACCAUCCUCACUUUUUGGAGACUAUGGACAAUAUCAGUAG
rnacentral:lncRNA from 1 species